CUGUCAUUUACCGGCUACCAUAUCUCCUUCGAAAAGUCUCUAAAUUUUGCUACAAUGGCUCGAAUUUCAACAACAAUCGCAGCAACUACUCGUUUGCUCUCCACUGGUACUAUCACAUUCAUUAUUCAUCUAUUUAUCUAUUUGUAUCCUUUUGUGUAGGUCACUGAUUUAGUUUUCAUUUUGUAUUUGUUGCAUCUGAGCGGGGGUAGUGUUGCUGCAGCUAUUGGAGUUCGAGCCAUUCUAGCAAAGUUCAAAGACUUUUUGGAGGAGGUAUGAUAGGCGGCGAUAAUUGUAGGAAGAGAAAGGGAAUGACUUAAUUUAGGAUAAGGGAGGGGUAUUAGUUGC
rnacentral:lncRNA from 1 species